GACGAACGCUGGCGGCGUGCUUAACACAUGCAAGUGGAGCGACGAACCAGGGCUUGCCCUGGGGCAGAGCCGCGAACGGGUGAGUAACACGUGGGUAACGUGCCCCGAUGACUGGGACAACCCGGGGAAACCCGGGCUAAUACCGGAUGUGCCCCCUCACAUCAGUGAGGUGUGUAAAGGAAGCUUCGGCCUCCGCAUCGGGAUCGGCCCGCGGCCCAUUAGCUUGUUGGUGAGGUAACGGCUCACCAAGGCUGCGAUGGGUAGCUGGUCUGAGAGGACGAUCAGCCACACUGGGACUGAGACACGGCCCAGACCCCUACGGGAGGCAGCAGUGGGGAAUCUUGCGCAAAGCGCGAAAGCGUGACGCAGCAACGCCGCGUGGGGGAAGACGGCCUUCGGGUUGUAAACCCCUUUCAGUUGGGACGAAGGUCGGGCGGUUAACAGCCGUUCCGGCUGACGGUACCUGCACAAGAAGCCCCGGCUAACUACGUG
rnacentral:rRNA from 1 species